CCUACGGGGGGCUGCAGUGGGGAAUAUUGGGCAAUGGGCGCAAGCCUGACCCAGCAACGCCGCGUGAAGGAAGAAGGCUUUCGGGUUGUAAACUUCUUUUCUCAGGGACGAAGCAAGUGACGGUACCUGAGGAAUAAGCCACGGCUAACUACGUGCCAGCAGCCGUGGGAAUACGGAGGUGGCAAGCGUUAUCCGGAUUUACUGGGUGUAAAGGGCGAGUAGGCGGGAAUGCAAGUCAGAUGUGAAAACCAUGGGCUCAACCUGUGGCCUGCGUUUGAAACUGUUUUUCUUGAGUACUGGGGAGGCAGACGGAAUUCCUAGUGUAGCGGUGAAAUGCGUAGAUAUUAGGAGGAACCCCAGUGGCGAAGGCGGUCUGCUGGACAGCUACUGACGCUGAGGCGCGAAAGCGUGGGGAGCGAACAGGAUUAGAUACCCCAGUAGUC
rnacentral:rRNA from 1 species